CGUCGACUGUUUUACAAAAACAUUUCUUUUCGGUUUUCUGGAAAGUAAGGCCUGCCCACUGAAGUUUUGAAGGGCCGCGGUAUUAUGACCGUGCUAAGGUAGCAUAAUCAUUAGUCUCUUAAUUAGGGAAUGGAAUGAAUGGCUUUAUUUAAAGGUCUUUUAAAAGCUACAAAUUUAUUUAAAUUUUAAUUUUAAGUGAAAAUGCUUAAAUAAAAUUAAAAGACGAUAAGACCCUAUAGAGCUUAAUUUCUUUGUACACCAUGAUAUUAGGAGAAAAAAUUAUUGUGUAAAUGAGGUUUAAUUGGGGCAAUUUUAGAAUAAUAACAACUUCUAAUAAUAAAAUAAAUCUUAAAAUUUAAAAUUUAAAUAGUUACCUUAGGGAUAACAGCGUAAUAGUUUUUGAGAGCCCAAAUCGACGGAACUGUUUGCGACCUCGAUGUUGAAUUAAAAAUUCUUUUAGGGGCAGAUUUUUAAUAAGAUAGUCUGUUCGACUAUUAAAAUUUUACAUGAUUUGAGUCCAGACCAGA
rnacentral:rRNA from 1 species